rnacentral:sRNA from 1 species
AGCUGAUGCACAUGGCGGUUUUCCUCCCAGUGCCGCCGCAGCAGCUGUUCCCCUCUGGAGGUACAAAUUACCUUCACACUUCAUGGGCCGCGAUUUUCGCAGGCCCAUUUUU